GAUGAAGAACGUAGCGAAAUGCGAUAAGUAAUGUGAAUUGCAGAAUUCCGUGAAUCAUCGAAUCUUUGAACGCACAUUGCGCCCUCUGGUAUUCCGGGGGGCAUGCCUGUUCGAGCGUCAUUUCAACCAUCAAGCCCCCGGCUUGUGUUGGGGACCUGCGGCUGCCGCAGGCCCUGAAAAGCAGUGGCGGGCUCGCUGUCACACCGAGCGUAGUAGCAUACAUCUCGCUCUGGGCGUGCUGCGGGUUCCGGCCGUUAAACCACCUUCAUAACCCAAGGUUGACCUCGGAUCAGGUAGGAAGACCCGCUGAACUUAAGCAUAUCAAUAAGCGGAGGA
rnacentral:misc_RNA from 1 species